rnacentral:rRNA from 1 species
GUGUCAGCAGCCGCGGUAAUACGUAGGGUGCGAGCGUUGUCCGGAAUUAUUGGGCGUAAAGGGCUCGUAGGCGGUUUGUCGCGUCGGGAGUGAAAACUCAGGGCUUAACCCUGAGCCUGCUUCCGAUACGGGCAGACUAGAGGUAUGCAGGGGAGAACGGAAUUCCUGGUGUAGCGGUGAAAUGCGCAGAUAUCAGGAGGAACACCGGUGGCGAAGGCGGUUCUCUGGGCAUUACCUGACGCUGAGGAGCGAAAGUGUGGGGAGCGAACAGGAUUAGAAACCCCCGUAGUCC